rnacentral:rRNA from 1 species
GACGAACGCUGGCGGCGUGCUUAACACAUGCAAGUCGAACGAAGUGGCGAACGGGUGAGUAACGCGUAAUCAACCUGCCCUUCAGCGGGGGACAACAGUUGGAAACGACUGCUAAUACCGCAUACUGCAGGCGUGGAUUGCGUCUGAUUCGCUAGUUGGAGGGGUAACCGCCCACCAGGGCGAGGAGCAGUAACCGGUCUGGGAGGAUGAACGGCCACAGUGGGACUGAGACACGGCCCAGACGCCUACGGGAGGCAGCAGUGGGGAAUCUUCCGCAAUGGACGAAAGUCUGACGGAGCAACGCCGCGUGAGUGAUGACGGCCUUCGGGUUGUAAAGCUCUGUUAAUCGGGACGCGGUACCGGAAUAGAAAGCCACGGCUAACUACGUGCCAGCAGCCGCGGUAAUAC